AUUUAUAUAGUUUAAUAAAAACGUUACAUUUUCAUUGUAUAGAUGGUAAAAUUAUCUAUAAAUA
rnacentral:tRNA from 1 species